rnacentral:rRNA from 1 species
CAGCAGCCACGGGAAUACGUAGGUGGCAAGCGUUGUCCGGAAUUAUUGGGCGUAAAGGGCUCGCAGGCGGUUUCUUAAGUCUGAUGUGAAAGCCCCCGGCUCAACCGGGGAGGGUCAUUGGAAACUGGGAAACUUGAGUGCAGAAGAGGAGAGUGGAAUUCCACGUGUAGCGGUGAAAUGCGUAGAGAUGUGGAGGAACACCAGUGGCGAAGGCGACUCUCUGGUCUGUAACUGACGCUGAGGAGCGAAAGCGUGGGGAGCGAACAGGAUUAGAUACCCCGGUAGCCCCUGUCUCUUAUAC